rnacentral:lncRNA from 1 species
AAAGGUGGUCUAGGUUCAUAUCAAUAGUGUGGAGUAAAGGUGGUCUAGGUUCAUAUCAAUAGUGUGGAGUAAAGGUGGUCUAGGUUCAUAUCAAUAGUGUGGAGUAAAGGUGGUCUAGGUUCAUAUCAAUAGUGUGGAGUAAAGGUGGUCUAGGUUCAUAUCAAUAGCGUGGAUUAAAGGUGGUCUAGGUUCAUAUCAAUAGCGUGGAGUAAAGGUGGUCUAGGUUCAUAUCAAUAGUUGUAUAGGAGUAAAAGUCGCCUUGUUUAAUUUGGAAAGACUUUGAGGUGCUUUCGGUGGCUUAAUCCUUCCUACAGCAGGGAAGGAUUAAGUAAUAGCCUAAUGCAUUGUCGGUAAGUACAAUGAGGAAGUAGACUAAAUAUUUUGGCAUUAAUGCUGAAGAAAAACAAAACUACUUUGAUAAGGAAAUGCACUUUAACCCCCAGAGUGUCAACACAACUUCUGGAGGUCUUGGACAAUCCAUCAGAAUUAGGUUACUGUGUAAUGCUGGAGAUCUGCUAACUUCAUCCAGAUUGGUUGAGACUAAAAAUAGCCUAGACAUGAGGUUCACAGAGAUGUUCUAUCAGUGAUCCAUUGUGAUCAUAGCAUAAUAUGUAGGCUAUAAUGCAGCUAACUUGGGUCGGAAGUAUCCUUCUUCAAGGUGGAAGCUAUUUGCAUUGUACAGGAAUGACUGAUCUGUAAAAGAUCAAGACUACAGCAUGAAGUCUUGCAAGAACACAACUUCCCAGCAAAUACCAAAAUGUGCCCUGCUCUGAAGCCAUCUAGCCUACAUAUUUUCAGUCCAAACAUCCCAGCUAGCUCCUCCUUCAGAACCUGUUUCCCUUGACAUGUGAGACUGAGACUAGCGCCACCAUUUUGAUUGCCUCCUAGCCCACAGCCCACAGUUGUCACAGAGUGUAUAGUUCAGUCUCCUUGUCAGCAAGAUUUCACCGUGGCCACAGUGAGUGAGUCUGCAGGAGAGUAAGGCACACAUUGCCUUCUCUUGACU